rnacentral:misc_RNA from 1 species
CAGGAUCUCAGCCAUGGC